AUUCCUGUCCUCUAUCGAGCGUGGCGGUGGGCCACACUUGGGCAAGACGCUGAUCGUGUACGUAGUAGCCAGCAACCCCAAGGACGUUUCAGUGACAUGGCAUCACCACAGAUGGCUUCAAAGCUCUCCAGAGCUCCUUGAACACCGCGUCAGUCACAGAACCGCCGGGCUUUAGACCAGAAAGUCUUAGCAUCCCUCCAAAAAUGAAGAGAAUGAUUCCUCACAAGCUUGCUGGAUGCAUUAAAUGAGAUGAUGUCUGCAUGUUCUUUGAAAGUCGGGAAAUUUAUCGAAGAAUAAAACAAGUACUUGGAUGAUGAUUAGGCUGUGCCCAGUUAUCCGUGAAGAAGAACGGAGAAGGAGAAAAGGCCUGUGUCCUUGCCCUUCAGAAAUGUACUUGAGUAGGUUAAACUACUAGGAAAAGCUACAGGUCAGUCAACUAUGGGAGGACAAGAGACUUAAAGGCAGAAAUGGGUCGACUUAACCGGUACAGGAAACAGGGGGAGCACCUCCUCGGCUGCAGAUGAAGUGGAAGACACUCUGUGGGGUAGCCACGUAUGGGUGUGCCUUUUGUGCACUGUGCAAAGGCACCUAGGCAAGGGUAUGGGAAGCGGCACUAAAAUCUAGGCUGUUCCACUUACCGAGUCACGUACAGGGAAAGAGCGUCACACAAAGGCAGCUUCUUUCCUCCAAGCAAAGCACCCACCCGGGUGGCAGCUUCCCAGAGAGUAUCUCUUUCCAAUCUGCACUGAAGCCCCAACAGGCCUCCAGAGGCCUGAGCUCUGCUGGCUGGGAAUGUGGGGCCAGAAGGGAGAAUGGCCUGAGAGCAUGCAGACAACUAGGUAGGAAUGGGAGGCGGAAGGAGUCAGGCCUUGCUGAAUGAGACGGGCCUCAAGAGCUAGAGUUGAUGCAAUAAAUAGUAGAGAAAUUAUCAGCUCAGAGAUCCCCACACCAUCCCCAGAAGAGAGGCAUUAUCCCCAUUCUACAGUCUGGAAAACAGUUUGGGCAAGCUGAGUUGCUUGAUGAGAGCUGAGCUUCCAACCAGAUCGAUCUGACUCAGAAGCCCACUGUUCUUUCCACCGCACGUCCCGUGGAGGGUUCGGAGCCUCGGCCUGACAGCCAUAAACAUGGCCUUGUGGCUCUUUAUGUAUGUGACCCAUAGGAGCUAAUUGCACAUAUGUUUAGUUUAUUACUUGCUGGAAACUAACUUCAGAGGAGUUUCUGGUCAGACUAAAAGCAGCCCCAGUGCUCAAGAAGGUUCUGAAAACGCAGGUAAGGAGGGGAUGGCAGAUGGAACAGGCUGGAGUCCAGGGCAUGGCUCCUAGGCAGAGUCAAUUCUGGUAUAUGCUAGCCAGUGUGCACGGGGGGGUGGGGGGGCACACCUCUGAACAUCUGUGGGCCUCCAUUUCUUCCUGUCCAAAAUGGCAGAACUGCACCAUACUCUCAACUCUACACAAAUGCUUAUACUGUCCCUUAACAUAUUUAUGGCUCUUGUCAAAUACCAAGCCGUUAUUUUUGUACUUUGUCAUUUAUUUCGAAUAAAUCUGUAAACGCCAUGAACCAAA